rnacentral:rRNA from 1 species
GAUGAACGCUAGCGGGAGGCUUAAUACAUGCAAGUCGAGCGGCAAGGUCUUCGGACCCUAGAGCGGCGCACGGGUGAGUAACGCGUACGCAAUCUGCCCUUCAGUGAGGAAUAGCCCUGGGAAACUGGGAUUAAUACCUCAUAAUAUUAUUUGUCUGCAUGGAUGAAUAAUUAAAGUUCUGGCGCUGAAGGAUGAGCGUGCGUCUGAUUAGCUAGUUGGUAGGGUAACGGCCUACCAAGGCUACGAUCAGUAGGGGGCGUGAGAGCGUGACCCCCCACACGGGUACUGAGACACUGACCCGACUCCUACGGGAGGCAGCAGUAAGGAAUAUUGGGCAAUGGAGGCAACUCUGACCCAGCCAUCCCGCGUGAAGGAUUAAGGCCCUAUGGGUUGCAAACUUCUUUGUUUGGGAAGAAAUCUGGACAUUUAUGUGCAGUUGACGGUACCUUACGAAUAAGCACCGGCUAACUCCGUGCCAGCAGCCGCGGUAAU